rnacentral:tRNA from 1 species
GGAAAGGUGGCAGAGUGGUCUAAUGCACCGGUUUUGAAAACCGGCGUAGUCGAUGAGGCUACCGCGGGUUCGACUCCCGCCCUUUCCG